AGGAUAAACGCUGGCGGCGUGCCUAACACAUGCAAGUCGAACGUCUCUUCUUUCGGGAAGAGGAGUGGCGGACGGGUGAGGAACACGUGGGAACCUGCCCUUCAGUGAGGAAUACCGGCGAGAAAUCGCCGACAAGACCGCAUAGCCCUCUCUGGUGAGAGCCAGAGAAGGAAAGCCUCGCAAGAGGCGCUGGAGGAGGGGCCUGCGUCCGAUUAGCUAGUUGGUGGGGUAAGAGCCUACCAAGGCGUCGAUCGGUAGCUGGUCUGAGAGGACGAUCAGCCACACUGGGAUUGAGAACGGCCCAGACUCCUACGGGGGGCAGCAGUGAGGAAUUUUCGGCAAUGGGGGAAACCCUGACCGAGCAACGCCGCGUGCAGGAAGACGGCCUUCGGGUUGUAACUGCUUUUCUUUGGGACGAGCAAGGACGGUACCAGAGGAAUCAGCCCCGGCUCACUACGUGCCAGCAGCCGC
rnacentral:rRNA from 1 species